AUUUCACAGCAAUGACAUUUGCCUGGGCACGAUGGGAGCCCCUAGAAGCAGUACAGCUAUUUUUACAUCUUUCUUACGCAGUGAUUCCUGUUUUAUCUUAGAAGGCACUAGAAGAAAAAGGGCACAGAAGCUUUGUAUAGCAAUGUCCAAAGAUCCAGUCCAGUUACAAUGAAAUGAUCUGCCAUGGGAUCCAGCAGUGCAGUCUCUUCUCCUCUUCAUUUCUAAAUCUCAACAGCAUUUUCUUCAGCACUAAGGCAUUAAAUCAACAGUCUCCACCAAAAUGAUGAAUUACUUCGUUGACUUGCUCAGAUUCCCGCUUUAAGCCUCCCCACAAACCUCUCCAAGCAAGCCAUCAGACAGCAUCAGUGGCACAGGAAAGGUGACAGAGGAAAUUUAAAAAACAAGAAGAAAAAGAAAAAAGCCUGCUAUUCCUUUGCUGCUUCAAAGCAUAUUUUUCAACAAAGUAAAGGCAGGUUUUUGCCUAAACUUAUUAGUAAUUCUGUACCGGAUAUGCUUCAAGAUCCUUUAUCUAAGACUGCAGAACAUUUUGCUUUAAAACCCUGGUUGGAAAUGUUAAUGAAUCCCUGCAAGCAGGUUGAAACUCACAUCAGAAGUCCCAUGAUCCUGUGGAUAUUGGAAGAUCAGGAAAAGUAUUUCAGAAGCCUAUAACCUUUUAAACUCCAACACAUGCUUCUGAACUCUCGGGUCCAGCUGAGUCUGCAUUAAUUUCAGUUUAAGUUGCAAGGACGGAAUCGUUAGCAGCAUCACCCACAAUGCAGCUACACACACAGGGCUCCCCAUCCUCCACAACCCUUCAUGGUUUGAACGCAGCUGCAAAACGAAGCAGAUAGCUGCAGCUGCCUUCAACUUUAAUACAGAGGACCAGCCAAUCGAGCCUGCAGGUGCCAGCAGACAGUAAUUCAUUUAGAUCUGAACAAGGGUAUAUUUGAUCAAGUAAGUAGCUUGGCCAGUUGGGAAGUGCACUGUAUCUGGGCUGCAGCUCUCUCCCUAGGCAGAGGAUAUCACGGAGUGAAAGAAAAUAUACUUUGCACGUCGGAAGCCCUGGGAAUGAUCCUUGGCCCAACCACAGGAAGGGAGAUGGAGCAAGGCUGGUGUGGCUGUCAGUAUCUACUGACCACACAUCACCUUCUGCAGCCAUUUAUCCAGCUGGAGCCAAAUGCAUGCCCAAGGUCAUGCAGACUGCCCCAGGGUCUGCAAACAGAGACCCAGUUCCAAGGCUACAUUUAAAAAAUAAUAAUAAUACUAAUCAAGCAAUGAGCAAUAACACCAUUUAUGGAAUAUCCUUACAUGAUGA